UGGGGAAUAUUGGACAAUGGGCGCAAGCCUGAUCCAGCCAUGCCGCGUGUGUGAAGAAGGCCUUUUGGUUGUAAAGCACUUUAAGCGAGGUGGAGACUACUUGGAUUAAUACUCUAGGAUAGUGGUCGUUACUCGCAGAAUAAGCACCGGCUAACUCUGUGCCAGUAGCCGCGGUAAUACAGAGGGUGCGAGCGUUAAUCGGAUUUACUGGGCGUAAAGCGUGCGUAGGCGGCUUCUUAAGUCGGAUGUGAAAUCCCUGAGCUUAACUUAGGAAUUGCAUUCGAUACUGGGAAGCUAGAGUAGGGGAGAGGAUGGUAGAAUUCCAGGUGUAGCGGUGAAAUGCGUAGAGAUCUGGAGGAAUACCGAUGGCGAAGGCAGCCAUCUGGCCUAAUACUGACGCUGAGGUACGAAAGCAUGGGGAGCAAACAGG
rnacentral:rRNA from 1 species